AGUGGGGAAUAUUGCACAAUGGAGGAAACUCUGAUGCAGCAACGCCGCGUGGAGGAUGACGCAUUUCGGUGUGUAAACUCCUUUUAUAUAGGAAGAUAAUGACGGUACUAUAUGAAUAAGCACCGGCUAACUCCGUGCCAGCAGCCGCGGUAAUACGGAGGGUGCAAGCGUUACUCGGAAUCACUGGGCGUAAAGCGCAUGCAGGCGGUUUAUUAAGUUGGAAGUGAAAUCCUAUGGCUCAACCAUAGAACUGCUUCCAAAACUGAUAAACUAGAGUCUGGGAGGGGAAGAUGGAAUUAGUAGUGUAGGGGUAAAAUCCGUAGAGAUUACUAGGAAUACCAAAAGCGAAGGCGAUCUUCUGGAACAGUACUGACGCUGAGAUGCGAAAGCGUGGGGAGCAAACAGGAUUAGAUACCCUGGUAGUCCACGCAGUAAACGAUGAAUGUUAGUCGUUGGGACUCUAGUAGUUUCAGUGAUGCAGUUAAUACAUUAAACAUUCCGCCUGGGGAGUACGGUCGCAAGAUUAAAACUCAAAGGAAUAGACGGGGACCCGCACAAGUGGUGGAGCAUGUGGUUUAAUUCGAAGAUACGCGAAGAACCUUACCUAGCCUUGACAUACUACAGAAUUUGACAGAGAUGUUGGAGUGCCUUCGGGAGCUGUAAUACAGGUGCUGCACGGCUGUCGUCAGCUCGUGUCGUGAGAUGUUGGGUUAAGUCCCGCAACGAGCGCAACCCUCGUCCUUAGUUACUAACGGUUCGGCCGAGGACUCUAAGGAGACUGCCUUCGUAAGGAGGAGGAAGGUGAGGACGACGUCAAGUCAUCAUGGCCCUUACGGCUAGGGCAACACACGUGCUACAAUGGUUAGGACAAUGAGAAGCGAUACCGCGAGGUGGAGCAAAUCUAUAAACCUAAUCUCAGUUCGGAUAGCAGUCUGCAACUCGACUGCUUGAAGCUGGAAUCACUAGUAAUCGUAAAUCAGCUAUGUUACGGUGAAUACGU
rnacentral:rRNA from 1 species